rnacentral:rRNA from 1 species
AUUGAACGCUGGCGGCAGGCCUAACACAUGCAAGUCGAGCGGAUGAAGGGAGCUUGCUCCUGGAUUCAGCGGCGGACGGGUGAGUAAUGCCUAGGAAUCUGCCUGGUAGUGGGGGAUAACGUCCGGAAACGGGCGCUAAUACCGCAUACGUCCUGAGGGAGAAAGUGGGGGAUCUUCGGACCUCACGCUAUCAGAUGAGCCUAGGUCGGAUUAGCUAGUUGGUGGGGUAAAGGCCUACCAAGGCGACGAUCCGUAACUGGUCUGAGAGGAUGAUCAGUCACACUGGAACUGAGACACGGUCCAGACUCCUACGGGAGGCAGCAGUGGGGAAUAUUGGACAAUGGGCGAAAGCCUGAUCCAGCCAUGCCGCGUGUGUGAGAAGGUCUUCGGAUUGUAAAGCACUUUAAGUUGGGAGGAAGGGCAGUAAGUUAAUACCUUGCUGUUUUGACGUUACCAACAGAAUAAGCACCGGCUAACUUCGUG